CACGUAGGGUCCGAGCGUUGUCCGGAGUUACUGGGCGUAAAGCGCGCGCAGGCGGUCACGCACAUCGGCGGUGAAAGCCCCCGCUCAACGGGGGAGGGUCCGUCGAGAUGGCGCGACUGGAGGCAGGGAGAGGCGGUGGAAGUCCGGGUGUGAGUGGUGGAAAUGACGUCAGAGAGUCCGGCGAGGAACACCAGUGGCGAAGGCGG
rnacentral:rRNA from 1 species